UGAGAAUUGCUGUGAAGCUAGAUAACAUGCUAACGCUGUGUUCUGAACAUAGUUUGACAAGUUUAGUCGACAUAUAAUAUGUAAUUUCGACGUUUUGGUGCGCACCCACUUGACUUUUUGGCUGCAUUUCAACCGAAAUGUGUCGUGUUUGAUCACCGAAAGACACAGACUUCCAAACUAAAGCUGUUUUUGCUGACGGUGGGAGGGCUGGUUCCCAAUUGGGACUCAAGAUCCUCAACAGGCUUUAGUUAACUUCUUGGUGACAGGAGGGCAGUAUUGAGUAGCUUGGAUAAAUAAGGUGCCCAGAGUAAACUGCCUGCUACUCUGUCCCAGAUGCUAAUAUAUGCAUAGUAUUAAUAUUAUUGGAUAGACAACACUCUGAAGUUUCUUAAACUGUUUGAAUGAUAUCUGUGAGUAUAACAGAACUCAUAUGGCAGGCGAAAACCUGAGAAAAAUCCAACCAGGAUUUGGGAAAUCUAAGGCUUGUAGUUUUUUAACCCAGCCCCUAUUCUAGAUACAGUGGGGAAUUUGUUAUGUUGCACUUACCAAGGCUUCCACUACAUGUCAACAGUCUUUAGAACGUUGUUUGACUCUUCUACUGUGAAGUGAGAACGAAUGAGAGAGGAAUGACACGCAUUUCACAUGAGAUGUAUCUCCUGUUCCUUCGCUUUUCUGAAGACAAAGGAAUACUCCGGUUGGAAUAUUACUGAAGAUUUAUGUUAAAAACAUCCUAAAGAUUGAUUCCAUACAUCGUUUGACAAGUUUCUACGGGUUGUAACGGAACUUUUUGAACUUUUCAUCCGACGUUCGGCUGGACCUGAAUGCGCUUUUGGAUUUGUUAACCAAACGAACAAAACAAACCUUUAUUGUGGAACUGCGAUUCCUGGAAGUGCAUUCUGAUGAAGAUCAUCAAAGGUAAGUGAAUAUUUAUAAUGCUCUUUUUGACUAAUGUUGACUACCCAAUAUGGCGGCUAUCUUUUUGACUGCUUUGUUGUCUGAACGCUGUACUCAGAUUAUUGCAUGGUUUGCUUUUUCCAUAAAGGUUUUUUGAAAUCUGACACAGAGGUUGCAUUAAUCAUUCAUUCAUUUAUUCAAUACUUACUACCUGUACUCGCUUCUCGUCUCCCAGCAUCUGUCCUUACACUACGCACACUCACAGGUCCCUACACACUCACAUACACUGUCAUUCCAACACACACAAACACUCACUCCAUCAUUUGUUCACUCACACAUAACAUGCACAUACAUUUAUGCUGACAUAACUGCACACACACUCACAUACAAUCUGCUGCUGCUGUUUAACUUACAUAAUGUUGCCUAGUCACCUUACCCCUAGACAUAUCUACCUCCAUCACUCUAGUAUCCCUGUCACCUUACCCCUAUACAUAUCUACCUCUAUCACUCUAGUAUCCCUGUCCCUGUCCCAGUAAGUAUGCUUACUUACUUUAUUGUGUAUUUCAUAUUUCUUAUUCUUAUUUCUCGUGUUUUUUCUUUCCAGUAAUACAUUGUUAUUAAUUAUUGCAUUGUUGGGUUUUGCUGCAAUGGUCUUUGUGCCGGGGUCUGUUAUAUCUGGUAUAGCUCUCCCGUCUUAUCUGGUGUCCUGUGUGAAUUUAAGUAUGCUCCCUCUAAUUCUCUCUCCAUCUCUCCCUCCCUCCGGGAGGACCUGAGCCCUAGGAUCAUGCCUCAGGACCACCUGGCCUGAUGACUCCUUGCUGUCCCCAGUCCACCUGUCAUGCUGCUGCUCCAGUUUCAACUGUUCUGUCUGCGACUAGGGAACACUGACCUGUUCACCGGACGUUCUACCUUGUUCUGGACCCACUGUUUUCGACUCUCUCUCUCCCUCUCUACCGCUCCUGCUAUCUCAACCUCUGACUGCUUGGUUAUGAAAAGCCAACUGACAUGUACUCCUGAGAUACAGACCUGUUGCACCCUCUACAACCGCUGAUUAUUAUUUGACCCUGCUGGUCGUAUAUGAAAGUUUCAACAUCUUGAAGAACAAUCUGGCCUUAAAUGGCCAUGUACUUUUAUAAUCUCUGCCCGGCACAGACAGAAGAGAACUGGCCACCCCUCAGAGCCUGGUUCCUCUCUAGGUUUCUUCCUAGGUUCCUGCCUUUCUAGGGAGUUUUUCCUAGACACCGUGCCUCUACAUAUGCAUUACUGGCUGUUUGGGGUUUUAGGCUGGAUUUCUGUAUAGCACUUUGUGACAUCUGCUGAUGUAAAAAGGGCUUUAUAAAUACAUUUUAUUUUGAGUUUGCAAGAAAGGCAAUUCACUGUAUUUGUGCAUGUGACAUUAAAACUUGAAACAAAGCACCUGAACUCUCUCCAAACAAUAGACCAUUAUUCCAAAUAAUACACACAAUAAGAAUACUUCUUGGCUACAAUACAAUCCGGAUUCGUCAGAGCCAGAGAGAGCUCUUAAUGAACGAGAACACAGGAGAGAAUAGGCUGGUCAGAAUCCUUUUCUUCUCCCUCUCCGUGUGUGUAUAAAUUAUAGAUGAUCUAGAAGCAGAUAGUUGAGCUCUGACUGAACCACUCUGGAUCUGCUGCUUAACCAAAGCAAGAGAAACACCGCACCUUCCAAAUAAGUUACUGACUGUCUGUGUGUCUGUGUGUGUGUGUGUGUGUGUGUAUGUGUGUGUGGUGGUGUGUGUGUGUGUGUGUCUUGAUGAGAUAGCCCCACCCUAGGCUCCAGG
ensembl:lncRNA